rnacentral:rRNA from 1 species
UACGUAGGUGGCAAGCGUUAUCCGGAUUUACUGGGUGUAAAGGGCGUGUAGGCGGGACUGCAAGUCAGAUGUGAAAAUUAUGGGCUCAACCCCUAACCUGCAUUUGAAACUGUAGUUCUUGAGUGAUGGAGAGGCAGGCGGAAUUCCGUGUGUAGCGGUGAAAUGCGUAGAUAUACGGAGGAACACCAGUGGCGAAGGCGGCCUGCUGGACAUUAACUGACGCUGAGGCGCGAAAGCGUGGGGAGCAAACAGG